rnacentral:rRNA from 1 species
AUUGAACGCUGGCGGCAGGCCUAACACAUGCAAGUCGAGCGGAUGACAGGAGCUUGCUCCUGAAUUCAGCGGCGGACGGGUGAGUAAUGCCUAGGAAUCUGCCUGGUAGUGGGGGACAACGUUUCGAGAGGAACGCUAAUACCGCAUACGUCCUACGGGAGAAAGCAGGGGACCUUCGGGCCUUGCGCUAUCAGAUGAGCCUAGGUCGGAUUAGCUAGUUGGUGAGGUAAUGGCUCACCAAGGCGACGAUCCGUAACUGGUCUGAGAGGAUGAUCAGUCACACUGGAACUGAGACACGGUCCAGACUCCUACGGGAGGCAGCAGUGGGGAAUAUUGGACAAUGGGCGAAAGCCUGAUCCAGCCAUGCCGCGUGUGUGAAGAAGGUCUUCGGAUUGUAAAGCACUUUAAGUUGGGAGGAAGGGCAUUAACCUAAUACGUUAGUGUUUUGACGUUACCGACAGAAUAAGCACCGGCUAACUCUGUGCCAGCAGCCGCGGUAAUACAGAGGGUGCAAGCGUUAAUCGGAAUUACUGGGCGUAAAGCGCGCGUAGGUGGUUUGUUAAGUUGGAUGUGAAAUCCCCGGGCUCAACCUGGGAACUGCAUUCAAAACUGACAAGCUAGAGUAUGGUAGAGGGUGGUGGAAUUUCCUGUGUAGCGGUGAAAUGCGUAGAUAUAGGAAGGAACACCAGUGGCGAAGGCGACCACCUGGACUGAUACUGACACUGAGGUGCGAAAGCGUGGGGAGCAAACAGG